GCUGGGGUGGCAGAGCAUGGUAAUUGCAAAAGGUCUAAGCCCUUUCAACCAGAGGUUCAAGUCCUCUUCUCAGUU
rnacentral:tRNA from 1 species